rnacentral:misc_RNA from 1 species
UUUCGUUCGUUAAAGGUGUUGAAAACAAUUGCCAGGAAUCUAUUUAUCGAAGGGAGCACUUACAACGGGGCCAAGGCUAAUUCACAGCGUAAAUAUUUGCUUCCACAACAAAACAUGACCCUCACUCCUUCCUUGUACACAUGGAAACCACACCAUUGUUUUCAACACCUUUAACGAACGAAAAAAUAAAACAGACCUUCUGCAAGGCCAUGAAACCACAAGUACUCAAAAAGGAAGCAAAAGGUCAGUCAUUGAAUAGAAAUAUACACAACUGAGAACUGUCGAAAGAACAACCAAUACAAUGCAGAAACUCUCUCUCUCUUGCCCUUUACAUCUGUUAGGGCCAUUUUUGUCCAUGAAGAAACAAGCCAUGAUUAAUAAACUUUAUUGAACUUGAUGGCAAAUCUCAAGUUUACAUGUCAUCAACUUGUGAGUGGAACACAAAACUUGGGAAUGUAGUAGUAAUAUCCUUUAGAUACUGAAGAGUCAUAUUCUUCAGAAGA